CCCUGACCUCCAGGUAUCCCAGCACCACCCGCUCCACCUGCCGUAGGUGUCUGCACACGGCCACGCCCAUCCUGCCUCGAGGCAGAGCGGAGGCGUAGACGCGACGCAGCGCCACCUUUUGCUCCGCCUCCAUGUUAGUCAGGACCAGCCGCAGCACGUCGUCAUGGCAACCGGACAUCCUACGGGAGGAGGGGGGGCCACGAGACGAGAGGGGCUUCUCCAAGACCACCAACAGGUCUAAGAGGCAGGACAGGACCGACUGAGGAGACAGUACAACGAACCAUGUGACCACAACACACAGGUGUUUGAAUAAAGCCUGGUAGAGAACUUCUGCUCUGUUGAACUGACGCAGAUCUGCAGGAGGCUGUAAACACAUCUUCAUCAUCACCACCAUCAUCUUCAUCCUCACCAUCAU